UUUAACAUGAGAGUUUGAUCCUGGCUCAGGAUGAACGCUGGCGGCGUGCUUAACACAUGCAAGUCGAACGAAGCACUUUAUUUGAUUUCUUCGGAAUGAAGAUUUUGUGACUGAGUGGCGGACGGGUGAGUAACGCGUGGGUAACCUGCCUCAUACAGGGGGAUAACAGUUGGAAACGACUGCUAAUACCGCAUAAGCGCACAGGGUCGCAUGACCUGGUGUGAAAAACUCCGGUGGUAUGAGAUGGACCCGCGUCUGAUUAGCCAGUUGGUGGGGUAACGGCCU
rnacentral:rRNA from 1 species